rnacentral:rRNA from 1 species
GAUGAACGCUGGCGGCGUGCCUAAUACAUGCAAGUCGAGCGAACAGACUAGGCGCUUGCUCCUCUGUCGUUAGCGACGGACGGGUGAGUAACACGUGGAUAACCUACCUAUAAGACUGAGUUAACUUCGGGUAACCUGAGCUAAUACCGGCUAAUAUAUUGAACCGCAUGGUUCUAUAGUGCUAGCCGUUUUUGCUGUCACUUAUACAUGUAUCCAUGCCGGAUGAGCUAGUUGGUAGGGUAACGGCUGACCAAGGCGACGAUGAGUAGCCGACCUGAGAGGACGAGAAGCAACAAUGGAACUGAGACAGGGGCCAGACUCAUACGGGAGGCAGCAGUGGGGAAUUUUGGACAAUGGGCGAAAGCCUGAUCCAGCAAUUCCGCGUGAGGGAAGAAGGCCUUCGGGUUGUAAAGCUCGUUAGCAAGGGAAGAAAACGUACCAUCGAAUAAAUGGUGAGGCUGACGGUACCUGGAUAAGAAGAACAGGCUAACUACGUG